rnacentral:lncRNA from 1 species
UGUGAUCUCAAAGAGAAAUUCAGAAGCAAACAGGUACUAAAGUGCGUCCUAGCCCCCGGGCAUCUGCUCUCAGAGAGAUGGCAGGAGCGGGACUCGAGUGGCCGAGUCCUUGGCAGACGCUCCAGAUGGGAAGGAAGCUGGAGGAGAGGCGCCCCCUUGUCUCUUUUCGGAGCGAGCCCUCCCACCUCCACCACCCCCAGCAUCCAGGUCCACUUGUUAGAGCGCCGCGGCUCUGCGCGAGAGCCGAGGCGAGGGGCCCUCUUUCAGAACCGGAGGAGUUGGCUGGAAAAAGUGUCGCCUGAGAAGCCUAUUGAGCCCUCGAAGGGCAGCGCCCCCAAGGCCCGCAGAAAGACAGAACUGAGAACAAGGCCGAUCUCCCAUCUCCCCCAGGUGGUCCAGAACCCCUGGCCCGGCGGUGACCGAGAGAAGAAGGCGCGCAGGUUCUGCCACCUCGGGCUGGACGCCCAGAGCGGACGCAGCCCGCCGCUCACGGCCAGGAGCCGCCUUCCGCCGCCUCAAGCCUCCGGGCUAAGUUCGCUGGGAGUCCUUGGGGUGGGAGGUGGGGGGCGAGGGGCCGAGAGCCAGAGGGAGGGAGGUGGGGGCCGGGAGCAACGCACCUACCUAGUCCAGGCGCAAGUUUCGGUGGCGUCCCCAGGUGCGGUCCCCCGCCCCCUCGCCAGGUGCUCAGCCCCGCCGGGCGCUGCCCGUGCCCGGGACCUCAGGCGUCUCAGCCGGUUCCUGCGGGAAACGACUGUAAAUCCACAUUACUGUUCGAGCUGCCGCUCGGGCCCCCGCAUCGCUCUCCUUCGGCUGGCGGCGGCAGUCCUCUCUGCUGGCAGCCGCCGAGGGCAGGGACCGAACCUGGCUACUACCGCGCCAGCAGAAGAUCGCUGCCGGGAGGGUGCUUGCGCCCAGGGUCGUACGUGUGUGCAAGAGUCUGUAUACGCGUGUGUGUCCGUGAAAGAGUGUGCGUGUGUGUGCGAGCAGAAGGGGUGAGCUCAGCCCCCGGGGCACUCGGAGGUGAACUCCGGGCUAAGCCGGAGUCCGCCGCGCUCCCGGGUGCGGGGCGUCUGCACCGCUGAUGGCUGUGCUGAUGUUGCCGUGGCCGCCGCCGCCGCGCUCUAAGGCUAGUCGCGGUGGUGCAAAAAAUGUUUCUCCGCUACUCGAGACCAAAAAACCUGCCCUGUCUACUGAGCAUGCCCGGUUUGACAGCUCCACAGCCAAGGUUUUUUUUUUUUUUUUUUUUUUUUUCCCCCCCCAAGACUCCAGGUUUUAGCCGCAGCUGAGACUGGGGGGAGGGGGAAAGCAGAUGGAGGAGGAGCAGAGGAGGAGGGCUGAGGGAGCAGGUAGCGGGCAAAGGAAAGGAAGUCAAGAUGAGAAAGAUCUGGGUGUUAGAAGGUGGAGAAAGGGAAGGAGAAAGCUAAGGGUGGGAGAGGAGGGAAAUAUGGAGCAACAAAAUUUACAUUUCGUACCACAAUGAGUUCUUGGCCAGGGGACUCUCAUGACCAGCUUCUAUUUUUUUUUCCGGAGGGUUAGGUGGGGCGGGGGGUUCGGAGGAAUGCUUGUCAUCCCCAAAUCAACCUGGGACAGUGUUUUAUAGUCAUGACAUACACAAACGCGCGCGCACACGCACACAUACAUACACACACACACACACACACACACAGGAGCGCGAUCGCUACCGCUAUGUAUAAAGUCUCAGGACUGACUUAAAAAGAAUGCGAAAUCUCUUGCCAGUAUAACUUUGGCAAAAAAAAAGGGGGGGGUAAGAGAGGGAAAAAUAGAAGAGAGAGAGAGAAAUUGUUUGGGUUCCUCCUUUCCCCCUCUCCCCCGCCUUGCAUAAAAGCCAAGCCCACGAGUGCGGUGCGUAAAAGACCCGCAAGCUUUCCAGCGUCCUUCACUGUGAGAGCACCGCUGCUUCCCGCUGACAGUGUGACCCCAGUGCACCAAGGCCGGCCACACGCAGCCUCCUGGCCGCGCAUCGGCUCAGCGCUGA